AGGUUGGACGCAGUUGGCAGGGCUCUUGUCUUGCUCUCUGCCCCGCCCUUUCUGUAUAUACCCAUGUCUUUUGCGCACUAUUUGUUUCCUUGGUGGGCUUGCCUGCCGAUAGGACAAUGCUUAAACCUUUUGCAAUUGCAGUCAGCGUCAGAAAAACAUAAUAACUACAACUUUCAACAACGGAUCUCUUGGUUCUGGCAUCGAUGAAGAACGCAGCGAAAUGCGAUAAGUAGUGUGAAUUGCAGAAUUCAGUGAAUCAUCGAAUCUUUGAACGCACAUUGCGCCCCUUGGUAUUCCAUGGGGCAUGCCUGUUCGAGCGUCAUUUGUACCCUCAAGCACUGCUUGGUGUUGGGUGUUUGUCCCGCUUUGCGCGUGGACUCGCCUUAAAGCAAUUGGCAGCCGGCAGAUUGGCCUGGAUCGCGAGCACAUUUUGCGACCUUGUCAUAACUGUUUGGCACCCAUCAAGACUAUUUUUCGCUCUUGACCUCGGAUCAGGUAGGGAUACCCGCUGAACUUAAGCAUAUCA
rnacentral:rRNA from 1 species